rfam:Geobacillus kaustophilus HTA426 DNA, complete genome.
CUCUGUUUCGAUAAGAUACAGGGCGGAAGGAG